GAUCCUGGCUCAGGAUGAACGCUAGCGGCAGGCCUAACACAUGCAAGUCGAGGGGCAGCACGGUGUAGCAAUACACUGGUGGCGACCGGCGCACGGGUGCGUAACGCGUAUGCAACCUACCCAUAACAGGGGGAUAACACUGAGAAAUUGGUACUAAUACCCCAUAACAUCGGGACCGGCAUCGGUUCUGGUUGAAAACUCCGGUGGUUAUGGAUGGGCAUGCGUUGUAUUAGCUGGUUGGUGAGGUAACGG
rnacentral:rRNA from 1 species